GAAAAUGAAACUCAUACAGGUCCGGAACAACUUCAGGGUGAGUAAAUAAUUGCAGUUUUCAUUUUUGGGUGAACUGUCCCUUUAAUUUGGAAUAUUUUAGUUUGUUGGUCCUUAUAAAAGACAACAAGCUUGCAAUCCACUUGCUACAAUGAUAUAAUCCAGGCAUUUCAAGGUUUUUUUUUAACAUCACGGGAUGUUUUUAUGAAGCAGUAACUUUCAAUUGCCAUUUCUUGUGUAAUAAUAACACUUGUUAGAUUUGUGCUGGUCAGUCUAAGUCUGAGCACUGAAACAUAUACAACUAACCUAUUCAAUAAACUCUGCUCUUUUUUCAUCAUCACUUCAUCUCCUGCUUCUGCUCAUCACUGGCUUUACUCAGUCAACUUCUUGUGUAAGACUGUUAAUACAGUUUUGGGUACCAGAUAAGACUUGCUGUUAACAGGUUUUGGAUAUUAGACAACUUUGCUGACUAGUUGCUCUGUUACCAGACAAAACAGAUAUUUGCUGACAGGAUCUGGCAUCCGGGCCUGGAUCUGAUCAUUCUGGUGUGGAGGUAUGAUCUAACACAAUCCUACUUGAGGAUGUGAAGAUGAAGAGAGCACAAGUCAGAGAAAAGAAGAUAAAUGAAGAAGAAGAGAAAAGGUGGGACAAAGCAGAGCCUUUUGAAGAAAUAAAAGCAGAUACUGAGUUACCGGAGGAGUACUAUCAUGGGCUUGAGGAUUUACCCUGGAACCUGAACUUACUGGAGCAUUUACUGUAUAUCAGCAUGCCAGCUUGGAUACAAAGAGCUCUGCUUUGUAACUUAAUUGAGCGGUUUGGCAUCUGGACCUUUCACAACAACAUCCUGCCGUGUCGUCUCAUUUCCUACACCCUACUGCCGUACACUCUGCCUGCUUCAGCUGUCAUCUCAUUCAUCUAUAGGUUUUUAUGCUGGGUGGAGAAAAUUCCCCACCAGGCUCUGAAUGCAGGCAGGGAAUUCAAACAGGAAGUGAUGGCACAUCUGUGGUUAGUCUUUACACACUUGAGAGGACUUUUGCCAAACAGAUUCCUGCUU
ensembl:lncRNA